rnacentral:ribozyme from 13 species
AAGAAUAGAAAUAGGUUCCUCAUCUGUUGAUUUUAUAACAGCCGGGGAAACUUUCCUCUUCUUUUUUCGUUUCUUUUUUCCUUCUUCGGUGUCUCUCACGGGAGAGACCUCGGUCAAAGUAGCAAAGGAAUCAAUGUAAUUGCCUCUCAAAAAUUCUUGCAUUUCAAAGGCAGCAGCAGUAAAAUCAAUAAUUUUCAUCCUCUUUUCUUCAAUUUUUGUCUUUACUUCUUCUUCACCUUUAGGAAUAUCAGCAAUGGAAGAGCUCUUUUGAUAUUCCAUGUAAGACAAAGAGUCAACAUUGCCUUCUUUAAUAA